rnacentral:rRNA from 1 species
AUUGAACGCUGGCGGCAUGCUUUACACAUGCAAGUCGAACGGUAACAGGCCGCAAGGUGCUGACGAGUGGCGAACGGGUGAGUAAUACAUCGGAACGUGCCUAGUAGUGGGGGAUAACUACUCGAAAGAGUGGCUAAUACCGCAUGAGAUCUACGGAUGAAAGCAGGGGAUCGCAAGACCUUGUGCUACUAGAGCGGCCGAUGGCAGAUUAGGUAGGUGGUGGGAUAAAAGCUUACCAAGCCGACGAUCUGUAGCUGGUCUGAGAGGACGAUCAGCCACACUGGGACUGAGACACGGCCCAGACUCCUACGGGAGGCAGCAGUGGGGAAUUUUGGACAAUGGGCGCAAGCCUGAUCCAGCAAUGCCGCGUGCAGGAUGAAGGCCUUCGGGUUGUAAACUGCUUUUGUACGGAACGAAAAGCCCUGGGUUAAUACCCUGGGGUCAUGACGGUACCGUAAGAAUAAGCACCGGCUAACUACGUGCCAGCAGCCGCGGUAACAC